GGCCGUGUAGAUCAGUGGAUAGAUCGUCUGCCUCCGGUUGUAUUUGGGUUAGCAGAAGGUCGUAGGUUCAAACCCUACCACGGUCG
rfam:Rhizophagus irregularis DAOM 197198w jcf7180003174350, whole genome shotgun sequence.